GAGAAAAAGGCUGUGAGGUCACUCCCCAAAUGAUCUCCAACACCCUCCUCCGUAAUGCCCAAAAUACAACAAUAAAUGGGAGAGAGUGGCUAGGUGCAAAUCCU
rnacentral:ribozyme from 1 species